UCUCAUCUUGCAUUGUAAUUAUCUUGGGACUGAAAUACAUGUAAUAAUGCUAUUUCAGUUAGUAAACAGCAAUGAAUGUUCUCAUUUAUUUUUUUUUUUUGUCUUGAAACUUUCAGUCUUUUGCCUUUUUGCCCACAUAGUUGAUAACUCUGUAAAGGAAGAGAGAAUUCAAUCACUGAAUUUCCUGUAAUGUCACUGUGGAUCCAGUGUUGUUGCAGUGAAGCUGAGAAUCAUAUUAGCUGCUUUUAGGAGCGAAACAUAAAACUACUCCAGGUAAAAUAAUCUUGUUAAAGAAAAAAAAGACUAUAUUGCAGAGGCCUUGGCUCGGUUUAUGAUGACACAGGACCUUGUCUGAACAUGGUGAUUUCACAUUUUGAGCUUAAGAGGAUACCCUGAAAUCCAGUCAAUGUGCCUCACUAGACUUUUCAGAGAAUAUUAUUCUUGACAGAAAAUGUUGGCUUGAUAUGUGAAAACUUAGAAAUGGCAGGUGUAGUAGUACACUUUGCCAGUUCUUCAAAUACCUAUUUUUUUCCCUUUUCGUAGGUUUGUGUGAGCUAAUUCUUUUUUUUUUGUCUUUUUCUCUUAUACUAUAUAUACACACACGUGUGUAUAUAUGUGUGUGUGUGUUUGUGUGUGUAUGUACCCACAAACACUGUUCAAAACAAAAAUGGAGGCUCGUCCUUGGAUCUCAGAAGGCCACAAGUGGUGACAUGGAAACAAAGAGAUGUAAAAAGUAGAUCACCACCUCUUACAGCAAACAUUGAGUGACAAAGUUCUAAAUAUCUAAGUGAUGUCCAAAAGAAUAUUUAUGGAACAUUUUAAGAAGACAGUGAGUGUGAGAUUUGAAACGUGAUGCCAACUAGAAGGUGAGGAAUUGGCUAUCUAUCAUUCAUGGACAUGAAUGGAGCCUAAGAAAGAUGGACAAGGAUUUCAUCCAGAAACUUUAUGAUUCUUUUUUUUUGCAUGAUAGGUACUGAUCAGACUCCAUUAAAUAGCUGUUUUGGAGAUACCUUUCAUAUUGGAACUUCUGACUGGCUCCUCAUUUUCUAGCUUCAGAUUCUCUAAUUCAUCUGUCUGCCAGUGGGAAAGAAGACGAACCACAUCACACUCUUCAUAAAUCUGCAGUUGACAUAUUUAAAAAGUUAAUUAGAAAUAAGCAAUAAUCAGGGAAGAGGACAAAGAUUAUAUAAGUUGAUAUUGAGAGCAUCUUUUGUCACUGUCGAAACUGAAAAAUUUUCAUGUUUAUUUACUGAACAUUUGGAUUCAUAAAUUUCAGACAUUUCUUUAAACCUUUGGUCCAUAGGAACCUCAAGAAAUUUACACAGCAAGAUACAAGAUGAUUGCAACCCAGAAUGAUUUAGGGUAGUUUUGCAAACCUUUUUUCUGUUAACAUAGUUAAGGAGAUUUUUCUGGAGUAUCCUGAGAAGUUUUGCUUGUGGACUGCUAGAGAAGUUUGCACCUCAUGCCAAUUUAAGGGGUCCUUGGCCAGGCCUAUCCUGUAAAGACAUUCUUUAGAUCUUUUGUCCUGAAUUCAUUUGCCUGAUCUAACAGCAGCAGGAGAACAUCUCUCACACCAGUUUUCUCCCCAAGAUGGCAGUGUGUGAAGGGUAUCUACUGAAUUGAAAAUUAUUUGGGCUGGGUAAAACUUGAAGUGCUGGGCUAUUCUGGACAAUCUCAAGUAAACAUAAGCCAACCUUGUAGAUAUAUGUGCACAGGAAGCUAAGGAUAAUACAUUUUAAAUUCAGCUAGAAGCUUUCAUUAGCUACAAAAUUAUAGACAAAAUAAAAAUUUAUAUUCGCCUAAAGCA